UUCUCUCUGCCGUAGAGUCGAAAAAUAUAUUCUACAAGGCACAGAAACAAAGGCAAAGACACAAAUGUCGUGUUAUCUUCGGUGUAGCUGAAAUUGUCGGUAUUGUCAUGACUCUUGAAUUACCUCCAAGCCCCUCGGGACCCCUUCGCCGAUACGAAAAUUUCUCCAGAGUUGACACUCUUCGACAUUACCUCGUCGGUGACGGUGAGGAGGAGCGCGCGUGGGUUGGCGCUCGCUUCCUGGCGCAUUUUCACGAGCGACGCGGCGGCCGCGAGGCGGCGCCACAGUCGUAGUGUAUACAUGCAGUUGUCUAUAUGCGAAACGUCUCGCCGCGCGCACCGCAGCAGCAUUUCGGACGAUUUUAGCGUGGUUUACACGCGGCGACUCGCAGCGCGCCUUCUACCACGGCAUCAGCAGGUCCGCCGGUGUCUUGAGCCUCGAAGCCUCCCCCGCACACCUUCGCAUAUCCCCCCGUUUCUUUUUUAUUCACCGUUCUGGCCGGAGGACCGCGGGGAGGAAGCGCCGACACGCAGAUGGACUUCGACGAGAGCAAUGCACCUCGCAUGGAAAAAGCGCAGCCUCUACCGCGAGCGGUAUCGACAGCGUACGAAGACAUGUAACGUACAGAUGCGGCCUCGUUGCUGAUCCGAUCAGACUAGCGUUAUCAAUAACGAGAAGCCCGAGGCGAGAGACACCACGAGGAGGCCACCGUCGACGACGAGGAGGAGGAGGAGGAGGAGGACCGAGGAAGAGGAGACGAAGAGGAAGAAGACGACGAGGAAGA